UACGUAGGGUGCAAGCGUUGUCCGGAAUUAUUGGGCGUAAAGAGCUCGUAGGCGGUCUGUCGCGUCGGCUGUGAAGACUCGGGGCUCAACCCCCGAGCCUGCAGUCGAUACGGGCAGACUAGAGUGCUGUAGGGGAGACUGGAAUUCCUGGUGUAGCGGUGAAAUGCGCAGAGUAUCAGGAGGAACACCGGUGGCGAAGGCGGGUCUCUGGGCAGUAACUGACGCUGAGGAGCGAAAGCGUGGGGGAGCGAACAGG
rnacentral:rRNA from 1 species